CUGAGUUCACCCAUCCCGUUAGUCGAAGCCACAUUGCCGAGCUGCACAGGCAGAAGCGUGUGUAACAGGCACAGCGGGCUGGGUUCAUAUCUACCGGGGAAUAGCACGGCUCCGGAGUCGAGCACAUGAUCAGCAGGCAGCGGCGGGGAGGGGACGCACUCCUGCACCGACCCCUGGACGUCUGAAAGAUUGGGAGGAAAUGAUUAUUUUUUUUAUUGAACGGACGCCCACAGGAAUUUCCACCGGAGGAACCGGUCCAGCAAAUUCCUCAGCGCCACUCAGAAAGACUGGUCUGGUGAGCAGGAGCCUUCACGGUGAGGAAGAGGAGCGCGCCCCCGAGUGUGUGAUCGCAUAUCAGCUUUAUCAGCGAGACACACACUCGAGCGCCGCAUCGGUCCCCGCGGAGAAAGACGCGGGUCGCUCGCACAGUUGCACUUGUCUCUCCUACCUGUUGUGUGUCGGCUCAUCUCCGGUUCCUCACUGGCGGAUCGUUUCCUCGACAGUUUUUCUCCUCGUCGUGUUGAAGCCAACCGCCCCCUUGACUUCACGAGCCCGGAGAGCUGCGCUGGCACCGGGCGCUCUGUUCUUACUGCGGUACCGGAGAACGGGACCGGCUGGACCGCGGCCGCUCGCCGCCUCGCUCCGCCAUGUUGCGUCCGUUCAGCAGCGGCCGUCUCAGCUAACCCCGCGGACGGGACGCGGCUCGGCUCAUUUAUAAGCUAGAGAGGGCGGAGAAAAGACGGGAGGACGGACAGAAAGUGCAGACCCAAGAGCAGGGCCGUGGCCGGGAUGCCGGGAAGGCCACGGGGGUCCCCCUGCUCCCCCAGGUCUUGACCGAACACUUUGAUUAUCGUUGAUAGAUAGUUUACACUUCGUUCGGUCAGCCUGCGUAUUUCUCCAAAUUUGAUGUCUCGACAUUUCGGUCUAAAUGCUGCCUCAAGGUUUUGAAGCCUUAAGCCGAUGCAGCCCUGAAGUCCUUUUCAUCUCGUCCACGGAGGGUAAUGUCUCGUGGUCUGCCCAUGCUGUGUUGUAUUCACAAAAGAUAUGGGUCUUGUGUAAUAAUCUUUCUCUGGCUCCCAACCUUCUGCCUUAAUGUUUAGAGUAAGUUGACUAAAUUUAAGAAUAACGACAUGUUUUUUUUUUUGAGUUAAGGAACGGACACAUCAAAGAAAGAAAGAGAUUUGAGAAUCAGAUGAACAGAUGUAAUUUAACACAAUUCUUCUACCAUAUGUCCUCUCACUAGUGAAUUUCACAUCAUAUAACCUGACAAGAGGGAGAAUGAACACAUUCAGUUUUAAAGGUUUACACUUUAGGACAACUGGAGUGCCUCGGCACACAUCAAAGACUGGCUGAGCAUUUACCUUGUGGAAACUGCUGCAGAACGAGAUGCCGCUUCCUUUCUUUACUACAAGAACCACAGGAUACAGGGCUCAGUGACGCCGAGGCCAGUCAUCACCUGAAUCUCAUCCAUCAGCACGGGAUUCGAUGGGGAGGAAUGAUGGACUGGAGCACUACCAGUUGAGAGGAAGAGUAGCUGAUGUGAAAGAACCUGCCACUCCCACCUGCCCUGCAGAAACUCCAGCCCUUCCCACCUUCCAGCCUCUGACUCCUCCCCGCCCACCUGUUCACCUGUUCCUCAUUCCCCAGUAACUUCCUAGUAUAUAUACCGUUCCAUUUCCACCCACACUCUGCCAGAUUUUCUAUUGUGCCUGCCCAGCCAGCUGUAGAGUUCCAGCCUUACUUACCUGUUUUUGGACUUUGCCUUUUGCCUGCUCCUUUGCCUUUUUUACCUGGUUCUCCUGUCCGACCACUGCCAGUUCCCUGACUUUGCCUUCUGUUUAUUCUUGCCUACUUUUUUCUGCAGAGUCUGAAUAAAGGUGAACUGUUUUGAAUAUUU